rnacentral:rRNA from 1 species
GUCUUUUUGUUUUUUAUAUAAGGUCAGACCUGCCCAAUGAAUUUUAAAUGGCCGCAGUACUUUAACUGUGCAAAGGUAGCAUAAUAAUUUGUUUUUUAAUUGGAAACUAGUAUGAAUGGUCAUACGAGGGAUUGACUUUCUUUAUCUUACUUAAAUUAAUUUUAUUUUUCUGUGAAAAAGCAGAAAUUUCAUUAGUAGACGAUAAGACCCUUUAAAACUUUAUUCAUUAUAGAAGUAUAAUUUUAUUAGGUUUUAAUAGUGUACUUUUUUAAUGAGUUUUGUUGGGGCGACAGGUAAAUUUAUUUAACUUUAUUUUUGUUUUUCACUAAUUAGUGUUUAUUUGAUCCAGAUUUAGUUUUGAUUAUAAGUUUAAGUUACUUAA